rnacentral:rRNA from 1 species
GAUGAACGCUGGCGGCGUGCCUAAUACAUGCAAGUCGAGCGAACAGACGAGGAGCUUGCUCCUCUGACGUUAGCGGCGGACGGGUGAGUAACACGUGGAUAACCUACCUAUAAGACUGGGAUAACUUCGGGAAACCGGAGCUAAUACCGGAUAACAUGUUGAACCGCAUGGUUCAACAGUGAAAGACGGUCUUGCUGUCACUUAUAGAUGGAUCCGCGCCGCAUUAGCUAGUUGGUAAGGUAACGGCUUACCAAGGCAACGAUGCGUAGCCGACCUGAGAGGGUGAUCGGCCACACUGGAACUGAGACACGGUCCAGACUCCUACGGGAGGCAGCAGUAGGGAAUCUUCCGCAAUGGGCGAAAUCCUGACGGAGCAACGCCGCGUGAGUGAAGAAGGUCUUCGGAUCGUAAAACUCUGCUAUUAGGGAAGAACAAAUGUGUAAGUAACUAUGCACGUCUUGACGGUACCUAAUCAGAAAGCCACGGCUAACUACGUG